UUAACAGCCCUGGAGACUGAAGUCCUCUGUUUAUGCACAGGACAGUCCCAGCACAGGUUGGAAAAGGGGAAGCUACCCAUAUACUCACCCACUAUCCUCAGGACCUAACCAGGAGGACGAGUGCACUGGAGGUUGCUCAGCUUCAGGCUGGAGGUUGGUGGCAUCC
rnacentral:sRNA from 1 species